UACAGAGGUCCCAAGCGUUGUUCGGAUUCACUGGGCGUAAAGGGUGCGUAGGUGGUGAGGUAAGUCGGAUGUGAAAUCUCCGAGCUCAACUCGGAAAUGGCAUUGGAAACUACCUUGCUCGAGGGUUGGAGGGGGACUGGAAUGCUUGGUGUAGCAGUGAAAUGCGUAGAUAUCAAGCGGAACACCAGUGGCGAAGGCGAGUCCUGGACAACUCCUGACCACUGAGGCACGAAAGCUAGGGGAGCAAACAGG
rnacentral:rRNA from 1 species